rnacentral:rRNA from 1 species
GCGCGUAGGCGGAUAGUUCAGUUGGGGGUGAAAGCCCGGGGCUCAACCUCGGAACUGCCUUCAAUACUGGCUAUCUUGAGUACGGGAGAGGUGUGUGGAACUCCGAGUGUAGAGGUGAAAUUCGUAGAUAUUCGGAAGAACACCAGUGGCGAAGGCGACACACUGGCCCGUUACUGACGCUGAGGCGCGAAAGCGUGGGGAGCAAACA